rnacentral:rRNA from 1 species
UACGUAGGGGGCUAGCGUUGUCCGGAAUCAUUGGGCGUAAAGAGCGUGUAGGCGGCCCGGUAAGUCCGCUGUGAAAGUCGGGGGCUCAACCCUCGAAAGCCGGUGGAUACUGUCGGGCUUGAGUGCGGAAGAGGCGAGUGGAAUUCCUGGUGUAGCGGUGAAAUGCGCAGAUAUCAGGAGGAACACCGGUGGCGAAGGCGGAUCUCUGGGCCUGUUCUGACGCUGAGGCGCGAAAGCUAGGGGAGCGAACAGG